rnacentral:rRNA from 1 species
UACAGAGGGUGCGAGCGUUGUCCGGAAUCACUGGGCGUAAAGGGCGCGUAGGCGGCUUGAUAAGCGUGCGGUGAAAGCCCGGGGCUCAACCCCGGGUCGGCCGUGCGAACUGUCGAGCUGGAGCACUGUAGAGGCAGGUGGAAUUCCGGGUGUAGUGGUGAAAUGCGUAGAGAUCCGGAGGAACACCAGUGGCGAAGGCGACACGCUGGGUCACACCUGACGCUAAAGCGCGACAGCAUGGGGAGCGAACGGG